rnacentral:tRNA from 1 species
GUUCCUGGACUGUGGAAGUGCGGUCUGUGGAACCGGAGGUCACGGGUUCGAGCCCCGUUAGGCACC